AAAAAGUGGGCUACACAUAGGCAGAGAUUGUGGAAUGAAUAUUUUGACCCUGCAAGAAGCAAAAAUGAGAUCAUUAGUAAUGUGCCAUCUGGUAUAAAUAAAGAUCAAUGGGCUAGUUUUGUUGCUUACCGUCUGAAACCAUCAACAAUGGAGCUUUGUAGAAGAAAUAAGGAAAUCCAGAGGAAGCAAAAAAUGCCACACACUGGUGGUUCAAAGGCUAACUCGAGAAGACGUUAUGAGAUGGUAUGUGCAUUUAACUUAAUAGUUCUGAUUUGUCUUUAACUAAACUGUUUUUGGAUAACAUUUAUAAUACAUUUCUUUCUUAGUUUCUGGAAACUGGUAAAGCUCCUAGUCGAGGAAAAAUGUUUAUUGAAACUCAUAAGAGAAAGAACGGAUCAUUUGUGAAUGCUGAGGCUCAAACUAUAGGGGAACAAAUUGAGUCACAUAUGACUCAUUGUAACACUAAUGAGUCUGAAGUUUCCCCAGAAGAUAUUGUUGGUAAGAUAUUAGGGGCAGAACACUCUGGGAGGGUAAGAUGUAUGGGUAUGGGAGCAGCUCCAUCAAACACAUUCUUGAAUACAAAGCGACGACUUAGCGAGCUGAGCAUUUCUUCAUCUAGCUAUGAUGAAUCAUCUGCAACUUCUACAUAUUUGCAUCAAAAGGUUGCGCGUUUGGAGUCCAAACUUGAAG